UACGGAGGAUGCAAGCGUUAUCCGGAAUGAUUGGGCGUAAAGCGUCCGCAGGUGGCUAUGUAAGUCUGCUGUUAAAGAGUGAGGCUCAACCUCAUAAGAGCAGUGGAAACUACAUGGCUAGAGUGCGUUCGGGGCAGAGGGAAUUCCUGGUGUAGCGGUGAAAUGCGUAGAUAUUGGGAGGAACACCGGUGGCGAAGGCGGCCCUCUGGACCGGUACUGACGCUGAUGCGCGAAAGCGUGGGGAGCAAACGGG
rnacentral:rRNA from 1 species